GACGAACGCUGGCGGCGUGCUUAACACAUGCAAGUCGAACGAAGAGCGAUGGAAGCUUGCUUCUAUCAAUCUUAGUGGCGAACGGGUGAGUAACGCGUAAUCAACCUGCCCUUCAGAGGGGGACAACAGUUGGAAACGACUGCUAAUACCGCAUACGAUCUGACCUCGGCAUCGAGGAUAGAUGAAAGGUGGCCUCUAUUUAUAAGCUAUCACUGAAGGAGGGGAUUGCGUCUGAUUAGCUAGUUGGAGGGGUAACGGCCCACCAAGGCGAUGAUCAGUAGCCGGUCUGAGAGGAUGAACGGCCACAUUGGGACUGAGACACGGCCCAGACUCCUACGGGAGGCAGCAGUGGGGAAUCUUCCGCAAUGGACGAAAGUCUGACGGAGCAACGCCGCGUGAGUGAUGACGGCCUUCGGGUUGUAAAGCUCUGUUAAUCGGGACGAAAGGCCUUCUUGCGAAUAGUUAGAAGGAUUGACGGUACCGGAAUAGAAAGCCACGGCUAACUACGU
rnacentral:rRNA from 1 species